UGGGGAAUAUUGCACAAUGGAGGGAACUCUGAUGCAGCGACGCAGCGUGAACGAAGAAGGCUUUCGAGUCGUAAAGUUCUUUUAUAUGGGAAGAUAAUGACGGUACCAUAAGAAAAAGCCCCGGCUAACUACGUGCCAGCAGCCGCGGUAAUACGUAGGGGGCUAGCGUUGUCCGGAAUCACUGGGCGUAAAGGGUUCGCAGGCGGAAAUGCCAGUCAGGUGUAAAAGGCAGUAGCUUAACUACUGUAAGCAUUUGAAACUGCAUAUCUUGAGAAGAGUAGAGGUAAGUGGAAUUUUUAGUGUAGCGGUGAAAUGCGUAGAUAUUAAAAAGAAUACCGGUGGCGAAAGCGACUUACUGGGCUCAUUCUGACGCUGAGGAACGAAAGCGUGGGUAGCAAACAGG
rnacentral:rRNA from 1 species